rnacentral:rRNA from 1 species
UACGGAAGGUCCGGGCGUUAUCCGGAUUUAUUGGGUUUAAAGGGAGCGUAGGCCGUGGAUUAAGCGUGUUGUGAAAUGCAGGUGCUCAACGUCUGCACUGCAGCGCGAACUGGUCCACUAGAGUGUGCGCAACGCAGGCGGAAUUCGUCGUGUAGCGGUGAAAUGCUUAGAUAUGACGAAGAACUCCGAUUGCGAAGGCAGCUUGCGGGAGCACAACUGACGCUGAAGCUCGAAAGUGCGGGUAUCGAACAGG